UAACUGUGGAAGCAGCAACAUUUCUGGAUGUUUGAUUUGUUAACUAUUUUCUAAAUUAAGAUUUUUUUUAUCUUUCAGGAACCAUGGAUGCAUUGGGAACUUAAUACCAUCUUAUUCAUUAGUGUGACUGGAAGAAAAAGGAGCAGAAUCUAAAUGUCUCCAAGCACAUCACUGAAAGAUUACAAAGGCUGUGGUGAAUGAACACAUGGAACUGCCCUCAGGAACUGACAGGUGCAGUAACAAAAAGUGCACAAUAAAGGAGACAGACAGGCUGCUGAGGCUGUUAUUUUUUUUUUGAGACCACAGUCCCUAUUCCUUGAGUUAAUUCAUUAGGAGGAAAAGGCCAUUGUGACACUGUUCUGAAGCCGGAUCUCAUAAUCUGUGAGAAAAAAUUACUUACCUGAGCCUUCAUUACAGUAGUAAGUAUUUGGUUCAAUUUGCUUGAUUCUGAUGCACAUACAAUUUUGUAAUUUAUUUGAUUAUUUAUAGGGUUAUAUAAUGAA
rnacentral:lncRNA from 1 species